UCGCGCCAUACUGGCAGUGGCCACUGGCCAGAGUAGAGAGCCUUGAUAAAGUAUGGAACGUUUUCAGGAUAUUCAGCUUUCACUAAAGCGAAUUUUAGUUGAUGUGUCAAUGAAGAACAAAAGCUGGAAUGUGAAUAGAAGAAGGGGUCGUACGGGGUCUGUAAAAAUACUCAAGUGGUGCUCGCUGCAUAUCAGAUCAAGCAUUGGAAUAAGAUUUUUAUCGGGGGAGAACAACCAACAGAGAAAGACCCAUUCACCAACUACAUGGCGCACUGAAAGGGGAGAUUCAUGUCACCUUCACCAGUCCUUUCUUUAAUUGCUGGAAACUGUUAAGGGAAAGACCCUCAGACAUAAUAGGAUAAAUGUGGCUGCAGGUAAAAUUAUUUGAUGGUGUUAAGGUUUAUCAUUAUCUAACAAACCAAAUGCUUUGUUCAAUAACAAGAAAUCACAUUAGGGCCAUUUUCUGGAAGAGAAAUCCACUUGGACAGUUUGACAAGGAUCAAGAGGCCAAGGACCAGGUGGUGAAGUCGGAACCAGACCAGACAGCUCUCGCACAGCCAGCCUCUGAACCUGCUCUACAGUUUGAAUCGCCCGGGUGAAGUUAAACUCUACUUUGCUGGUGACCCAGAUGGCUGAGAACAUGAUAGGCUGAAACCCUGGAAGCUAAGAGGGAAGCGGCAAAGGAGUUCGAAGAAGAGCUGAAAAGCACGUCUUAAUGAACACAAGGACAAGGCCUGGUGAAAGCCACUACAGAGGAUCAUAGCCAUCGUUGGAGUUCUGAAAGGACGUGGGUGAAUAUCAAUCUGCCAAAUGAACUUUUUUUAGCAUGCACAUUCACAUCUUUCUAUUAAUACUGAUUAUAUAUGAACUUGUUUGUUUGUUACUGGAAACAACUUCGCUUCUAUUGUGUUUGACAGAAGGAGUUUUAAGCCUAUGUGCAUUUUCUAGAUGUUAAGCAUGAACAGUACUUAAACAACCAUUACCCGUACCAGCUCUGUCCGUGCUCCAUUUUCCAUUGCAGAUCAUACUCAAGAGAUAGUACCCCUUAAAUGCAGCUGGUCGUCAUAGCAAGGCCACACACAACUGCCGCGGCGUAAUGUUCAAUGCGAGGUACACACCAGCGCCCCAAUUUAAUUUAAAACGUUUCAGCAUUACUCGGAUUGUACUUAAUUUAACUAAAACAAAUAUCAAAAACAUGUCUAAUUAAUACUUUAUCAACACGUCAUACUCCUGGAAAAGACCCACAUAAAUCACAUAUUUUAAAGGAAUAGUCUACUCAUUUUCAAUAUUAUUUAAUAUUUUCAUAUUUCAACAUAUAUCAAUAAUAUGUUAUUACCUUAACUAAGAAUUGUUGAUACAUCCCUCUAUCAUCUGUGUGCGUGCACGUAAGCGCUGGAGCGCGCUGCGACGCUUCGAUAGCAUUUAGCUUUGAGUUCACUCAAAAGUCGAUUUAAAAUUGCAGUUUAAAAAAACUUGCAUGCAUUGAAGACCCGUCACCCCUAGGAACAACAUGAAACGAUUGAAUAUAUCUUCAUAUGAUAUAUCAGGACACUUCUUAAUUUCAUCCUCACACUGGCUCAUACAUGGCUGGUGUAGUAAAUAUUUACCAUAACUGUUUUUAUCAUGUUUUAUGCGUGCUCCCACCACACUGUUUUCUACUGGCUGGCCAUUAAAACUGAGCUCCCGCACAAAGAAGGGAAAUACGUCACAUCUCUUACUCCCGCGUUUGAAAAUAAUGUGGAUAACAACAUUAUUCUGUUUGAGGUGUAACAAGCUGUGUUCCCACAUGUUUAAAGGCUCUCUAAGCGAAUCUGCGAGACGUUAGUUAUUGUUGACUUUUAAAACUGUUUUCAAACAGACGGAGCGUAGCUAACUCCUCCCCCUCCCUUCCGUGCUUUCAUGAACGCGCCCAACCCCCACCCCCAAAUCCUUUGUCGUUUAUUGGCUGGAAUACUUUGUUUUGUUUUGUGAUGCUAGGUUUGGCCACUUGUUGAUAUUGCCGUUUGUGAAGUCUAGGCUGUCUACAGAGAUCGCGUUUUUUUACAGUUUGAUCAACGGGCAGGCAGCAAGCAGAUAGUGAGGAGUAGGGGUGUAACGGUUCGUGUAUUCGAACCGGACCGUUUCGGUUCAGGGCUUUCGGCACGGUGCGCACGUGCACCGAAAGUAUUUUGUGUGCGCCUGUGCGGAACAUAAUACGUGCGUUUCCGCACGAACAUAUUAAGUGGCGGAAGUCUCCGCGUUCAGCGCAAGUCUUCUGUCAAACAUAUAACAUAAUUCGGCACGCAGAAAGAUUUUUAUUUACUUAGUUGUAUAUCCGUUUGAUUAUUGAUGUAAACGUUUACGUGUCGUAUCUAAAAGCGCAUGUUAAACGCGUGUCAACGCGCUGCUUUGUUCUUUCAAAAGUGCGUGAGAGGAUGCACGUCUUUCGUUGCUACGCAUUCAUGAGACGCGCUUUCUGUGACAGCAAGAAUAAGGAAUGCGUGAUCAGAUUUUUCAUCUGCAUAUCACGUCAAUCAUAUCAUUGUCACAAUGCGAUCAGCUGGUCGGGACAGAGAAGAGCUGUAACCCGGGCUUACUCAGCUGUUACUCAGCUGCGGAGGGGUUCGUAAGUAAAGUCA